rnacentral:rRNA from 1 species
UUGGAGGGCAAGUCUGGUGCCAGCAACCGCGGUAAUUCCAGCUCCCAUAGCGUAUAUUAAGUUGUUGCAGUUAAAAAGCUCGUAGUUGAAUUUCGGGAUCAAUGUUUCGGUCAUGCCGUUGGUAUGUACUGAUAUUAUUGAUUUCUCACCUUCUAAAGAACCGUAAUGCCAUUAAUUUGGUGUCACGGGGAAUUAGGACUGUUACCUUGAAAAAAUUAGAGUGUUUAAAGCAGGCUCACGCUUGAAUACAUUAGCAUGGAAUAAUGAAAUAGGACAUCCGAUUCUAUUUUGUUGGUUUCUAGGAUCGAUGUAAUGAUUAAUAGGGAUAGUUGGGGGCAUUAGUAUUCAAUUGUCAGAGGUGAAAUUCUUGGAUUUAUUGAAGACUAACUACUGCGAAAGCAUUUGCCAAGGAUGUUUUCAUUAAUCAAGAACGAAAGUUAGGGGAUCGAAGACGAUCAGAUACCGUCGUAGUCUUAACCAUAAACUAUGCCGACUAGGGAUCGGAUGAUGUUAAUUUUUUAAUGACUCAUUCGGCGCCUUACGGAAACA